UACGUAGGUCCCGAGCGUUGUCCGGAUUUAUUGGGUUUAAAGGGUGCGUAGGUGGAUCGUUAAGUCAGUGGUCAAAUUGAGGGGCUCAACCCCUUCCCGCCAUUGAAACUGGCGAUCUUGAGUGGAAGAGAAGUAUGCGGAAUGCGUGGUGUAGCGGUGAAAUGCAUAGAUAUCACGCAGAACCCUGAUUGCGAAGGCAGCAUGCCGGCUUCCGACUGACGCUGAAGCACGAAAGCGUGGGGAUCGAACAGG
rnacentral:rRNA from 1 species